UACGGGGGAGCAAGCGUUGUUCGGAUUUACUGGGCGUAAAGGGCGCGUAGGCGGUCAGCACAAGUCAGUUGUGAAAUCUCCGGGCUUAACUCGGAAAGGUCAACUGAUACUGUGCGACUAGAGUGCAGAAGGGGCAACUGGGAAUUCUCGGUGUAGCGGUGAAAUGCGUAGAUAUCGAGAGGAACACCUGCGGCGAAGGCGGGUUGC
rnacentral:rRNA from 1 species